GUUGACCAGUUCAAAGCUAUCAUCUCUUAACUGUAAAUGUCAUCAACACGUUUAUCAAAUUCAAGGCUUAAGCAAAUUUAGAUUACAAUUUCAUCCUAUACAACUUUAUGAAUGUCAAAUCAAUCAUACAAGCAAGGUCACACGGGCAUCUGGCUGCCAGCGAUGUGACCUGGUCAGUCAGGGCUCCAUAAAAAGGCAGGAAUUUUUCCCUUUAGUUACAGACUACCCACACACGAAUCAUCAUGAAGACUGCCCUUUGUUUCCUGCUCUGUGCACUUUUUACAGUAUUCUCAAAGGCGAAUCCAACUCCAGAACCCUGCGUAGACGCUCUCGGGCAACCUGCGACGGAAUGGAGUCUCUGUUCGUCCAGUCCAUGUUGCGUUGUUCAGUGUAGCUGUUUGGAGAUCUACGGAGUGCGCCAGGCCGUCUGCCGACAAGCAUGCCCAUACUUUAUGCCAUUGCCCGGAUGUAAGUUUCUAGAACCCAUUCACAACGCCACGCACAUGGACUGCUGUAGAAUUGAGUGCACAGUGCCACAGUUGGAGGAGCCGCUCAGACUAUAGAGUACGUCUUGAUGAAGAUCUGACAGACAAUACCGGUGACCCGUUGCUCUCCUGAAAGCAGCUUGUAUUUCUCGCUUACUCACACCUCUGUGCAAUUGGUGUAAACUUUAUACAUACAAGACAAUUGUCCCAAAUAAAGUUGUCA